rnacentral:rRNA from 1 species
GACGAACGCUGGCGGCGUGCUUAACACAUGCAAGUCGAACGGAAAGGCCCUUCGGGGUACUCGAGUGGCGAACGGGUGAGUAACACGUGGGUGAUCUGCCCUGCACUUUGGGAUAAGCCUGGGAAACUGGGUCUAAUACCGGAUAGGACUACGGCCUUCACGGGUUGUGGUGGAAAGCUUUUGCGGUGUGGGAUGGGCCCGCGGCCUAUCAGCUUGUUGGUGGGGUAAUGGCCUACCAAGGCGACGACGGGUAGCCGGCCUGAGAGGGUGACCGGCCACACUGGGACUGAGAUACGGCCCAGACUCCUACGGGAGGCAGCAGUGGGAAUAUUGCACAAUGGGCGCAAGCCUGAUGCAGCGACGCCGCGUGAGGGAUGACGGCCUUCGGGUUGUAAACCUCUUUCAGCAGGGACGAAGCGCAAGUGACGGUACCUGUAGAAGAAGGACCGGCCAACUACGUGCCAGCAGCCGCAGUAAGAC